AAGUAAUUACACAUAGCGUAAAAAACACGAUCACCACAUACAUCAAUUUCUAACACAGAACAUUUAUAUCACUCAUUUAGCUUAUUAGGAUAAAGUGAAAUUUAAUAUUUCCCCAAAAUGUUUAUCUUUUUUUAGAGUGAAUGGUCUUCUAUCUAAAAGCAACAAGCUUGCUUGCAAUACCCGUCGUGGUGAAUCAUAUUCUGUGCACUCAAGGAGGAGAUGAUGUACAUCUUCGUCUGGAUGGCCACAAGAACACUGUGGACUAGAGGCACGUUUUAUCCUGUAUAAAAAGUGUCGCGUAAAUGCAGUACCAAGCCGCAGGCGGUG
rnacentral:lncRNA from 1 species